GUUCCUACGGGAGGCAGCAGUGGGGAAUAUUGGGCAAUGGGCGCAAGCCUGACCCAGCAACGCCGCGUGAAGGAAGAAGGGUUUCGGCUCGUAAACUUCUAUCGAUAGGGACGAAAGAGAUGACGGUACCUAAAUAAGAAGCCCCGGCUAACUACGUGCCAGCAGCCACGGUAAUACGUAGGGGGCAAGCGUUAUCCGGAAUUACUGGGUGUAAAGGGAGCGUAGGCGGCAAGGUAAGUAAGAUGUGAAAGCCCGCAGCUUAACU
rnacentral:rRNA from 1 species